AGGGUGCAAGCGUUAUCCGGAUUCACUGGGUUUAAAGGGUGCGUAGGUGGGCUGGCAAGUCAGUGGUGAAAUCUUCGGGCUUAACCCGGAAACUGCCAUUGAUACUAUUUAUCUUGAAUACUUUGGAGGUAAGCGGAAUAUGUCAUGUAGCGGUGAAAUGCUUAGAUAUGGCAUAGAACACCAAUUGCGAAGGCAGCUUACUACACAGUUAUUGACACUGAGGCACGAAAGCGUGGGGAUCAAACAGG
rnacentral:rRNA from 1 species